GACGAACGCUGGCGGCGUGCUUAACACAUGCAAGUCGAACGGAAAGGCCCUGCUUUUGUGGGGCGCUCGAGUGGCGAACGGGUGAGUAACACGUGAGUAACCUGCCCUUGACUUUGGGAUAACUUCAGGAAACUGGGGCUAAUACCGGAUAGGAGCUCCUGCUGCAUGGUGGGGGUUGGAAAGUUUCGGCGGUAGGGGAUGGACUCGCGGCUUAUCAGCUUGUUGGUGGGGUAGUGGCUUACCAAGGCUUUGAAGGGUAGCCGGCCUGAGAGGGUGACCGGCCACAGUGGGACUGAGAUACGGCCCAGACUCCUACGGGAGGCAGCAGUGGGGAAUAUUGCACAAUGGGCGGAAGCCUGAUGCAGCAACGCCGCGUGCGGGAUGACGGCCUUCGGGUUGUAAACCGCUUUCGCCUGUGACGAAGCGUGAGUGACGGUAAUGGGUAAAGAAGCACCGGCUAACUACGUG
rnacentral:rRNA from 1 species